AUUCGGACAGAGAUGAGUGUGCGUCCCAUUAGCUAGUUGGUAGGGUAACGGCCUACCAAGGCGACGAUGGGUAGCUGGUGUGAGAGCACGACCAGCCACACGGGCACUGAGACACGGGCCCGACUCCUACGGGAGGCAGCAGUGAGGAAUAUUGGUCAAUGGACGCAAGUCUGAACCAGCCAUGCCGCGUGAAGGAUGAAGGCCUUCUGGGUUGUAAACUUCUUUUAUCUGGGAAGAAAAGCACUGUUUCUACGGUGUCCGACGGUACCAGAGGAAUAAGCACCGGCUAACUCCGUGCCAGCAGCCGCGGUAAUACGGAGGGUGCAAGCGUUAUCCGGAUUCACUGGGUUUAAAGGGUGUGUAGGCGGGCUAUUAAGUCAGUGGUGAAAUCUCCGAGCUUAACUUGGAAACUGCCAUUGAUACUAUUAGUCUUGAAUUCUGUUGAGGUUGGCGGAAUAUAUCAUGUAGCGGUGAAAUGCAUAGAUAUGAUAUAGAACCCCGAUUGCGAAGGCAGCUAACUAAGCAGAUAUUGACGCUGAGGCACGAAAGCGUGGGGAUCAAACAGGAUUAGAUACCCUGGUAGUCCACGCCCUAAACGAUGAUUACUCGACAUACGUGAUAUACGAUGUGUGUCUGAGCGAAAGCAUUAAGUAAUCCACCUGGGAAGUACGACCGCAAGG
rnacentral:rRNA from 1 species